GCAAUAUUGUGGAUAGAGAAACAAUGAUAUAUUGUUUUUUACAAACACGCAGCUUUUCACUUCACAAAGAUGGACUGGAGUGGUGUGGAUUACUUGUGGAUUAUUGUGAUGUUUUUAUCAGCUGUUUGGACUCUCAUUCUGACGGCACCCAUUCACUGCAGAGCAUCCAUUCGUGAGUGAUGUAAGACUAUAAGGCAUGAAAAUAAACAUUGUCAUCAUAAUUUUCUGUAAAGCUGCUUUGAAACAAUGCAUAUUAUGAAAAGCGCUGUAUUAAUGAUUUUGAUUUGUGUGUUAUCUGUCUCAGGGUGUGGGAUAGCCGUACCUGGCAGGUCACUAACACAUUUCCGGCAAAGCAGUACAUCCAGACACACUGUGACAUCAGUUCCAACUGUUACCACCUGCUGUCGUCCAGCAAUGGUUUCGGUGGUCAGGGUUGUGAGGCCACGCUGUGGGACCUCAGACAGCCCGGCUGUAAGGUGGCCGAAUACAGAGGACACCUGCAGACCACAGCAUGCUGCAUGUUUGUGCCUCCCAGUCCCGGAUAUCCUGCUCUCGUGGCGUCAUCGGCGUAUGACAGCUCAGUAAAAAUAUGGGAUCAGAACACUGCAGCGUGUUUGUACACGUUAACGCUGGACGGUUCAGGGCCUUUGGUGUCUCUGGCUCCGUGUGACUCCAGCAGUCUCCUGUGUGCCAGUUUUAACACAGGACUGCAUCAGCUGCAUCUAGAUCAGGGAGCAAUGCCCAGCCUCACUGAAGUGGCUCGCUUCUGACGUCCAUCUGGACCGCCUGGAAAAUCAAACUAAUGAGUUAAAACAAACAUAUUUAAUAACUGGAACUCCUGGAAAUGAGAAUGCACACUACAAUAUGUAGACACCCUCUUCUUAUUAAAUGAAUAGGUCAAAAAUGAAAAUUUGCAUCUUCAGGCCAUCCAAGAUGUAGAUGAGUUUGUUUUUUCAUCUGAACAGAAUUGGAGAAAUGUAGCAUUACAUCACUUGCUAACCAAUGGAACCUCUGCAGUGAAUGGGUGCCGUCAGAACAGUCCAAACAGCUGAUAGAAACAUCACAAUAAUGUUUGUAAUAAUCAAAUCCAUUAAGAUAUUUUUAACUUCAAACCAUUGCUUUAAGCCAAAAUAUGAGUCCUCUUUCCAUAUCAUUGCUUUCUUCAGUGGGAAAAAGUCAUCUCAUCUGAAUCAGGAGAGAAAUAUUCAUAGAUCAAGUACUGUUUACAAGCAUAAGAAGUUCUAAAUAAUUUGAUUUUGAUGUGAGAGGACAACGGGGCAUGAACUUUUUCACUGAACACUUCCAAAAUCAUACUUAAUAUUAUAGAUUAUGGACUCAAUUUUGGGCAGAAAAGUUCAAAUGUGGAUUAUUGUGAUGUUUUUAUCAGCUGUUUGGACUCUCAUUCUGACGGCACCCAUUCACUGUAGAGGAUCCAUUGGUGAGCAAGUGAUGUAAUGCUACAUUUCUAGACAAUAUUGUUUCCUCAUUUAUUUCUGAAGAUUUUUUUUUUUUUUUAACUUCUGCUUAACUACAAUUAAAUGUGGACUCUUUUUUUUAUAUACAUUCCCACAAAUAUAUUUUCAGCUGUGUACUUUCACUUACAACUGAGUAAAAUUUACAUACCCGUACUUUUUACACUCCUGUUGGAAAAAAAAGACCUUUUAUUUGCACUUUUCAUUAAGCAAUCAAUGGGUCAAAAUGAUUCACUGCCAGAAUCAUUCAUGCAGAAAGUACAUAGACGCAUAUGAAAUCUCAGUCUCUCACUCUACCUGUGCACACACAUUCACACAGGCUCAGGGUUUGGCAACAUGGGAAACUGAAUCAUUUUUCACAUAGAAGCUGCUAGAGUUUACACACUCAUAAACACAUUCAAACAUUUAUGUAAACAGACUGGUCUUGUAUCUCACACACGGAGAGAUCCUGAGGAGAGGGAGAGGAUGCUUAUGAGAUGAUCUGGUCUUUUGAGUGAGUGAAGUGACAUGUGGCCAAGUAUGGUGACCCAUACUCGGAAUUAGUGCUCUGCAUUUACCCAUCCAAAGUGCACACACACAGCAGUGAACACACACAAACCGUGAACACACACCCGGAGCAGUGGGCAGCCAUUUUUGCUGCGGCGCCCGGGGAGCAGUUGGGGGUUCGGUGCCUUGCUCAAGGGCACCUCAGUCAUGGUAUUGAAGGUGGGAGAGAGC
ensembl:lncRNA